ensembl:lncRNA
UUGGUAAUGCACGAUAAAAAUAGAGAAUGUUUGAAAUACCAGAACACUAUAGAAAAUAUUAUGUUUCUUAUAAAAAAAUAAAAAAAAACAUAAUAAAGAUGAGCAAAAAAUAUAAAAAGAAGUUAGAAAAAGAAUCAAUACAUAAUGCCGCUAAACAAAUUGACAAACAGGGCAUAAAAAUGUUGCCACCAUUUCUUUAUAAUGACAUCAUCAGUCACGAAAUAGAAAAAGUAAAUAAAUUCGGUGAAACAAAAUAUAAUGAAAUUAUAAAUAACUUGAUUAGUAUAUACAAAAUGUUAAAAAUGUUAGAUCUUACAAGUGCUGAAGUAAAAAACACUAAAUAUGGAGUAGGUACAGAUGUAAGAACAGAUUUAUUAGGAGAUAUGGAGACCCAGUUAGAUUUAAUGGGUUGUGAUAUUAUACAUUUUAAUUUUUAUAUUUAUAAAAAUAGUAAAAUAAUAAUGAAAUUAGGUUUUUUUUUUGAUAAAAUAAUGAAUAUAUCAAUAAACCAAUGGAUGUUGUUAGGUUUAAUAAAACAAAAAUUUUGUAAUAUAGACGUUGAGCAAUUAAUAAUUUAUUUAUCACAUUUAUAUACAAUUCUUAACAAAUUAAAACAAAAUAAUAAUAAUAAAUGUAUUAGUAAUAAAGAUACUUUAUGGAAACCUCCUGAUAUUUUUGAAAGAACAUCUUAUAAAUUUUUAAUAAAAUAUGACGAUAUAGUAUUUGCAAAAGUUAAAAUUGUUAAACAUUUACCUUAUUUAAUAUUUGGUAUGAAAAACGAAGAUAUAGAACAACAUUUUAAAUACAUGAUAGAAACUCAAAAAGGAAAGGAAGAGAUAACUAUGGGUAAUGUUAAGGAUGGUAACGACGACAUAGAUAGUAGUGGUAAUAAUAAAAUAGAUUCUCUAAAAAAAAUAUGUGAAUCUCAACAAAUUACAUCAGUAUACUUCGAUAACAAACAAGCAAUUUGUUAUUCAAACCGAAUUUUAAGAUUUGAAAAUGCUCAACUUAUAAGAUUUCGGUGGUAUAAUGAUAAUGAAGAUGAACCAAACAAAAUUAUUUUUGUCGAACGUAAAACACAUCAUGAGGAAUGGACAGGAGAAAAAUCAACAAAAGAAAGAUUUGAAUUAGAACAAAAAUAUUUGCUUAAAUAUAUGAACGGUCAAUUAAAUAUAAAAAAACUUAUGCUUCAAAAAUUUAUUAAAAAUAAAAAAGAGAUACUGCAACAGUUAGAAAUUCAAAAUAGUGCUUCUUGUGUUAAAGACAUUUUGAUCAAUAACACUGGUACUAAUAUCGACCAUUAUAACAAUAAUCGUAACAGUAUAAAGAAUAAAAAUAGUAACAGUAAUAAAAAUGGCGUGAGCAAAAAACAAAUAAAAAAAAACAUCCAAAACUUGAAAAAAAAGUAAAAAAAAAUAUCAAAUUAGCUACAGAAAUACAACAUAUGAUUGUAAAAAAUAACUUAAAACCUAUUAUUAGGACAUCUUAUUUAAGAUCUGCUUUCCAAUUAAGUAAUGACAAUUCAGUUCGAAUUUCUAUUGACAUAAAUGUAGCAAUGAUUAAUGAAUAUGUAUCUAAAAGAGAACACUGGUGUAGGUUAGCAGCAGAAGUACUAGCAAAAAAUGAAGUUACUCGAUUAAACUAUGGAAUUUUAGAAGUUAAACUAACUACUGGUGAAAUUCCACAAUGGAUUACUAAUAUAUUAAAUAGCAGUCAAUGUAUUAAUACAUAUAAAUAUUCAAAAUAUCAAACAGCUAUGGCUUUAUUACAUCCUGACAAAAUUAAAUACAUACCUAUCUGGAUAUAUACAAAUAUUCAUAAAAAUUUUAUAUCUACACAAUAUUCUUAUGAAUUUAUUCCUAAGGGUAUGUUAACUGGUUAUGAUAAGGUGGAACCAAACGCGCAGUUAGUGGACGUUGGCUAUACAGACGGAAUUGUAGACAAACAAACAGACGAAUAUACAUAUGUACAUGCUAGCGAACAUACUGGUGGUUAUACAGAUAUAUAUGUUAGCGGAUAUACAAACAAACAUGUUGAUGAAUACACUCAUAACAAAAUAAUUAACAAUGUUAAAGGAUUAAAUAUUUGUAAAAACAAAAUGCUAACGAAUUGGGAAUUAUUACAAAAAACUUCAACCUGGUUAAACAAUAAAUAUAAUCAUUAUAUGAGUAAACA